rnacentral:rRNA from 1 species
UACGAAGGACCCGAGCGUUGUCCGGAUUUAUUGGGUUUAAAGGGUGCGUAGGCGGAUUGAUAAGUCAGUGGUGAAAGCCCAUCGCUUAACGAUGGAAUUGCCAUUGAUACUGUCAGUCUUGAGUAUGGUUGAGGUGGGCGGAAUGUGUCAUGUAGCGGUGAAAUGCUUAGAUAUGACACAGAACACCAAUUGCGAAGGCAGCUCGCUAAACCAUAACUGACGCUGAGGCACGAAAGCGUGGGUAGCAAACAGG